UAUAUUCAAAACAACAAUUAUUGGGUAAGAAAAUAAUGAUGAUAUCGUUAGAUUUGUUCUACCACAUUGCUUCUUGUUGUUUCAUGUUAGUUUGGAUUUGGUGUUUAAGGUAUGUAUAAGAUUUAGUAAAAUUUCCUCGAGUGCUGCCAAGAUAGAACACCCAAAAUGCCAUUUCAAGACAUCGUGUUCUUUCAAUCAAUGUGGGAUUCCUAAAUCGCACCUCAUCCAAUCUAAUUGACUAUUGGUUGUUCUAGAGGAAGGAACCUUACCCCUCGCAGAUUUUACUUCAUAAGAGGAUUAUUGCAUUCCAACUGGAACCUAGCCAGCCCCACCACCAAAACGACAAGGACAGCCACUAUUUCCAAAGUUUUAGUACUUUAGCACCCACCAGAAGUUGGUGGCGGCGGCGGGUGGUCGGUGCAUCUCAAUCACCCAUCACUUGUAGCGGUUAAGAUAAACAUAAACUAAGAAAGUACGACACAAAGCCCACGUCAAUUUGCGUCUCUCUGCUAUUGCUCGGUAUGCCACUGCCAUUAAAUAUUCACUUGUUCCUCUUCCCAUAUUACUCGCGUGUAUCAAUCUCCAUCCACCCCGCAUUCCCUCUGCUUAGAAUUUUCAUCCGACGGUAGUUUUUUAUUGUCCAAUAAUAUAAAGAUAUUCCUCGUGUGCAGAGGGUAAAAGAGCAAAGCUACGAAACUGCUCUUUUCUUUGAGACUGAGAGAGGGCCAUCUCGACUCUUGAGUUUUGAGGUAUCUCUGUUUUUGGGUAAUUUUUUGAGGAAAGGGGAUACGAUGGUGGAGCUAUUUGUGUUGGUUUGCACUGGAGUUGUGAUGUUGCUACACGGAGCUAAUUUCUUCUUCCAUGUUCUUUCCCAGCACCUCGCCAUUCGUUCUCUCAGCUUUCUGGGUUCUGUUGGAUGGUGAAGGAAGAAGAGAGAGAGUGGAGAUGGUAGCUUGCAGUGCUUGUCUAUGUAUAUAAAUUCAUUUUUUGGGCAAAAUAGCAUAGUGCUAGUGUAGAUUGUAAAAGCAACAUGGGCUUCGAAUAAUGAAGAACUAUGAAUUUUCGAACUAAAUUUAUCUUCUUUUAAUCAUAUGUACUCUGUUUUUGUUUAGAAUCAGAGAAUGUUCAUUCUUUUGAUGUUAA